rnacentral:rRNA from 1 species
UACGUAGGGGGCGAGCGUUGUCCGGAUUCAUUGGGCGUAAAGAGCGUGUAGGCGGCCAGACAGGUCCGUUGUGAAAACUCGAGGCUCAACCUCGAGAUGUCGAUGGAAACCGUCUGGCUAGAGUCCGGAAGAGGAGUGUGGAAUUCCUGGUGUAGCGGUGAAAUGCGCAGAUAUCAGGAAGAACACCUAUGGCGAAGGCAGCACUCUGGGACGGUACUGACGCUGAGACGCGAAAGCGCGGGGAGCGAACAGG